ACAGGAAGCGGGCCGGCUGCUCCGGCGGGUCUCCGGCGUGCCUACGCCCCAGCCCUGAUCCCAGCCACCGGGCUCUCUUCCCUGGGCGAGUGACCUCGGAGCCGGGAGCAGCAGGAGCAGGAGGCAGGGCUGGGACCCACAGGCAGGCCCCUCUCUGCCGGGCAGCAACCCCGAGGACCAACCCGAAGCGGGUCCGGGAAGGAGCGAGAUUGAAGCACGGUUGACACGUGCUGUCCCAUCGGUGUCCGGUGCACACCACAGUGACCGAUAAAUCCGUGUGUUCAUCAUGCGAUGCUCCCCCCAGUGUCCCCACACACCGCACGGCGAUACCGUCCACCGGCUCCUUGGGCUGUGCCUUUCAUUCCGCGACACAUUCAUUCCGUAAGUGGAAGCCUGGGCCAUCUGACCACCCCCCCUCCGGCGACCCUCAGUGUGUUCUCUGUAUUUAUAGGACUGAUUCUGCUUUGUUUAUUCACUUUGUCUUGUUUUUUAGAUCGCACAUACAAGUGAAAUCGUACGGUGUUUGUCUUUCUCUGUCUGACCUCACGGAUCAUCAUACCUUCUAGGACUCUCCGUGUUAUUGCAAAGGGCAAGAUUCACUUUUUUAUGGCUGCGAAGUAUUUCAUCGAUCUCUCCAUCUCUCUCUAUCCUCUGUCUCAAAAGGAAAUACGGCCCAUGCUGUUCUACAAAACUUCUUUUGCCGAAGAACAUUCACCUUGAAUACCUUUCCAGUGGGUCCUUUUCAACUUGUGCCUGGGGUUUCCAAUACGGUGGUCGGAAGUUACGUUCAUGGAAAAUCAGAAAACCUUCCUGCAAGACUGGUGAACAGUGACUUGGGAAUUGCUUCCUGGGGCAAAGACGAGCCAGAUGCUGGCGUCCUGCCCUGGUGGGGUCCCAGUGAGGGGCCUGAGCCGAGCUGAAACCCUGCUGCCCGUGGCUUCCCACUGCCCACCGGGGACUCCAGAGAAAGCCCUCCCUGCUGUUCUCCUGGCGUUUCUCUUCCCUGUGUCCCCGAGCAUCGUCUGUGUGCGUGGGUUUGAAAAAACCGCUAACCCAGUGGUAAGAAAGCCUUUCUCAGAGUCUGCUGGCCUCUGGGUGACUGGACGGCCAGGAGACCAACUCUGAUGCCACCGACAUUACUGCUUUGAAAGCAAAUGGGAGGUGCUCUAUCUGCCGUCAUGGACCGGACUGCGGAGCCCACAGCACAGAACACGUGGUCUUCCUCCUGCCAGCCUGCGACCCUCAGAGGAUGGACCCCACCUCGGGGCCGGGGCAUCUGAGGGGAGCCCUACAGGCCUGGCGUGCAGCAAGCCUGCCCCACGUUGGGAGGUUCCCCACCGGUGGGUCCCGGCCACAGCCCAGCUCUUCCCCACGAGCAUGGCCCUGCCUCCCGUCAGCGACCGGGGUUCAGCCAUGGGUCCGGUCACAGUUCAGCAGGUCACAGCAGGUCACACUUCCUACUGGGGUCACCCAGCCACUCUUACUAGUUCCUGCUUUUAUUCUUUAUCUUGGCCGUAUCCAGUUCUGGAGAUAAGGGCUUUCCUCGGCUCACUGGCUCUGGCUUCACGUUCUGCUGGGCAGGAGGAGCGCGGGUCCCUGCUGGGAGUCAGGAGGACCCCGUGGCCGGGACCGAGAGGCGUGGAUUCCUCCAUCCCGCAGCCCUCCAUGUGCGUGGAGAGAAGAGGAGGGAAUUUGCUGCCUCGCAGGGCUCCACGUCCUUGCUGGAACCUUCCUGCCCACCCUGAUGCGGCAGGUCCACCCCGGGGCCCUGAGCUUGUUUCCUGUCCCCGAAGGAUUGGUGCACACGGAGGGGACCCCAGGGCAACCUUCCUGUCGUGGUUUCUCAAUCUUUUGUGCUCAUGCUGAUCCAUGUGUGUUUGAUGGUGACAGAGGCACAUGAUAGACCUUGUCUUGAGACUUUUUUCCCCACUAAAACUGCACCGUGAAACUCAAAA